UACGUAGGUGGCAAGCGUUGUUCGGAAUUAUUGGGCGUAAAGGGCGCGUAGGCGGUUUGUUAAGUCGGCUGUGAAAGCCCGGGGCUCAACCCCGGAGGGUCAGCCGAUACUGGCAGACUAGAGUACGGAAGAGGUAGCUGGAAUUCCCGGUGUAGCGGUGAAAUGCGUAGAUAUCAGGAGGAACACCUGUGGUGUAGACAGCUUUCUGGACCAUAGCUGACGCUGAGACACGAAAGCGUGGGUAGCAAACAGG
rnacentral:rRNA from 1 species